CCCAACGAUUUAAUAAAUCAAAUGACGCGGAAAUGCGACAAUUCUCAGUAUCAGGAACAAUAACAGAGGAUCAGAAUCACAUCCACAGCGAUCAGUAUAAAUAAUUAUAUUCUACAGUUCCGUUUUACAGUUAAUUGCAAAUACUUCCAGCGGCUAACAAUACUACAUUGUUCGAAAAGAAAAGAAAAACGAAAACAAAAGUGGGGGAAGACUUGAGGUGGAGAAAAGUGAAAGUAGGAUUUGAGCAACACUCUAAGAUGAGGCGAAAGUAGUUAAGUCAAUAGGUUCAACACCUUGACUGGGUCAGCAGGAAAAUUCGAUAUAAAAGAGAUGCGAUUUCCGCUUUUAAAGGUGUAAUAAACCACGCAAUCCGCUUUCAACACUUGUCCAGUUCAUCGAAAGAAUAUUAAAAUAUGAGGCUCUAUUUAUUGGCCUGCUUCGUUUUUGGCCUUCUAAUAGCCAUCGCUCAGAGAUCCAACGCUCAGAGUAGAGUUGCUCUGCAGCUUCGGUGCUUGACAUGUCCUGGUAAUGAUCAAGAUCACAAAGAAUGUUGCAGAGGUGUCAACAGAUGCUGCCAAGGAAGAGUCAAAUUAAUCGGUGAUUUCCCCCAACCAUCCACCACCGCAUACGGCUAACCAGCAGCUGAAGCUUUGCCAUGGUCUUUUGUUACUAGCAAGCAUAAAAAUGUGAUUAUCUUUUGUUAUUGUGUUGUAAAUGUGAGCUACAAGCUGGUUAUUCUUACCAUUGCAUAGAGUUCCGAAUCGAUCGUCAUUAUCAACUUUCGUGUUAUUUUUAUUUAUGUAAAUAGAACUUCAUUUGUAAAUAAAUGUUUUCAGUGAUUGUA